rnacentral:misc_RNA from 1 species
GUGGAGGAAUGAGCAGUUUUGGGUGAUCGGUGGUACCUCCGCCCAUCUAUUUGCUGUGUUCCAGGGACUGCUGAAGGUGCUUGCUGGGAUCGACACCAACUUCACCGUCACAUCCAAGGCAUCCGAUGAAGAUGGUGACUUCGCUGAGUUGUACGUAUUCAAGUGGACAACGCUUCUGAUCCCUCCAACAACAGUCUUGGUGGUGAACAUGGUGGGGAUAGUCGCAGGAGUCUCCUUCGCCGUCAACAGUGGGUACCAGUCGUGGGGCCCUCUCUUCGGGAAGCUCUUUUUCGCCAUUUGGGUGAUCGUCCAUCUCUAUCCGUUCCUCAAGGGUCUUUUGGGCAGAACUAACCGAACGCCCACUAUCGUUAUUGUAUGGUCCAUUCUCCUUGCUUCCAUCUUCUCGUUGCUGUGGGUGCGUAUCGAUCCCUUUACUUCUCCGAGCCAGAAGGCAGCUGUGGCUGGUCAGUGUGGUAUAAACUGCUGAGAGUUUGUUUGGAAAUGGUUUUCGCGCAUGUCUGAUGUGAAUGAAAGAACAUCAAGGGCUUGUUUUCAAUCAGAUGAAAGGAGUUCAUCAAUGCAGUUGGCAUUGUUGUGUUAGACUUGUAUGUCUCUUGUUGUAAGAUAGUGGAUAUCAGCAGUUUACAGACACUAUUGGGUGUUUCUUAGUGUAUGAUACUUGGGU